rnacentral:lncRNA from 1 species
CUUGAAGGGAAAUGAAUUUGUAGGCUGUCCCUACAAAUGGGUGGGUGUGGAAAGGAUAGAAAUGGAUUUUGAACAGACUGCAGAUGUUUUCUAGACUGAUGGCGAGCUGCAAAGCUAUGAGCCAAGUCUGUCAAUAGGAAAAGAUGAAGGAGGCCUUUGUAGGAAGAACACUGCCCUUGAGAUACAUGUAAAAACAGCAAGAGUUGCGGUGUGCGAGAGGACAGAAAUAACAGCGGGGGCUCAAAAAAAGCAGCGGAUGUAAAAAGGGUGGAGGCAUGGCCCUGCUGAUGACAGCAAUGCUUGGUGUGGCCAAGGCUCAUGCGGCCACAGAAAGCCCACAGGACAGCUCCCAGAUGCACUGCAAGCAUCUGUCCCACCAUCCCCAGCUCACAGCAAAGCAGACACCUGAAGCAGAAGCUGCUCCCCAAAAGCAGCGCCCCAGAAGAUGCUGGGGCAGGUGCCAUGGGCAAGGCUGUCUCCUUCUGGCCCUGCCGUCCUGCUCCUGGCCCUCUGUGGCAGCAUGACCUCCCAGGACAUCUGCAGCUUCCCAGGUACUCGUGAGUCCUUCCCUCCCAGAGCCAGGGCACUUGGAAGCCCAACCACUGUGAGCUCUGCCCUAUGGCAGCCCUUCACUGCUGUGUCUCCUGCAGGGGAUCUCCGAGCUCCUGCUCUCCAAAUGAACUCAACUUCUGCUCAGCCAGGUACCACAGUUGUGCUCCAGUGUAUUCUCCAUGUGGUGUCAAGUGUAAGACAAGUCAUUUUCUGCAAGGAUGGGAUGGAGGUGUACAGUCUGAAAGCCCAGCAAGGGCAGCUGAGAUACUCCGUGGUCCUGAACAUCACGUCAAGGAGCGCAGGAAGAUAUACAUGUGGGUACCAGCAGAGGAAUGAGAUGAAACAGAGGAGGAGCUCUGCCCUCAGUGCUGGCCGCAUCCUGAAUGUCCCUGGCAAUGUGGCCAGCACCCCAGAAAGGCCAUCAUCCCCAGGUGAGUGAUUCCCUCCUGCACCACCGGGACCUCCAGGUCCCGCUGUCCCUGCAGCACUACCUCUGCUGCAGACAUGGGGCUGUGCAGGGCCCAUGCACAGAGAAGAAGUGCUGGGGAUGUGGAUGGAUGCUGAGUCAAGCCAGGGAUGCUCCAAGGUCUGCCCUGUACAUUGAUGAGCCUAUGGCAGGGCAGGUAGAUUAAUUGUCAUGAGCUGAGCCGUAAUGUACGUGUGAGCAAAGGGACAAUAUUUCUGGAACUAAAAAUGUAGCUGGAGCCAUAUUGUGAAAGGAGUGAUAUUGGAGUGCUCAGGGAUCCAGGGACCUCUCCCUGGAAAAACAAACCAACCAAAAAUGGCUGGGGAUGGACACAGGGCAGAACACCUCUACUGCAGACCU